AUUGAACGCUGGCGGCAGGCCUAACACAUGCAAGUCGAACGAGUGGCGGACGGGUGAGUAAUGUCUGGGAAACUGCCUGAUGGAUGGGGAUACCUUCUGGAAACGGUACCUAAUACUGCAUACCAUCAGAUGUGCCCAGAUGGGAUUAGCUAGUUGGUGGGGUAACGGCUCACCAAGGCGACGAUCCCUAGCUGGUGUGAGAGGAUGACCAGCAAACCUGAAACUGAGAAACGGUCCCGACUCCUACGGGAGGCAGCAGUGGGGAAUAUUGCAAAAGGGGCGCAAGCCUGAUGCAGCAAGACCGCGUGUAUGAAGAAGGCCUUCGGGUUGUAAAGUACUUUCAGCGGGGAGGCGUUACCCGCAGAAGAAGCAACGGCUAACUCCGUGCCAGCAGCCGCGGUAAUUC
rnacentral:rRNA from 1 species